rnacentral:rRNA from 1 species
GACGGACGCUGGCGGCGUGCUUAACACAUGCAAGUCGAACGGAAAGGCCCUGCUUUUGUGGGGUGCUCGAGUGGCGAACGGGUGAGUAACACGUGAGUAACCUGCCCUUGACUUUGGGAUAACUUCAGGAAACUGGGGCUAAUACCGGAUAGGAGCUCCUGCUGCAUGGUGGGGGUUGGAAAGUUUCGGCGGUUGGGGAUGGACUCGCGGCUUAUCAGCUUGUUGGUGGGGUAGUGGCUUACCAAGGCUUUGACGGGUAGCCGGCCUGAGAGGGUGACCGGCCACAUUGGGACUGAGAUACGGCCCAGACUCCUACGGGAGGCAGCAGUGGGGAAUAUUGCACAAUGGGCGGAAGCCUGAUGCAGCAACGCCGCGUGCGGGAUGACGGCCUUCGGGUUGUAAACCGCUUUCGCCUGUGACGAAGCGUGAGUGGCGGUAAUGGGUAAAGAAGCACCGGCUAACUACGUG